UACGUAGGGUGCGAGCGUUAAUCGGAAUUACUGGGCGUAAAGCGUGCGCAGGCGGUUCGCAAAGUCUGAUGUGAAAGCCCCGGGCUCAACCUGGGAACUGCAUUGGAAACUAACGGGCUCGAGUGUGGCAGAGGGGGGUGGAAUUCCACGUGUAGCAGUGAAAUGCGUAGAGAUGUGGAGGAACACCAGUGGCGAAGGCGGCUCACUGGCCCGAUACUGACGCUGAGGCACGAAAGCGUGGGGAGCAAACAGG
rnacentral:rRNA from 1 species